GACGAACGCUGGCGGCGUGCUUAACACAUGCAAGUCGAACGGAAAGGCCCUGCUUUUGUGGGGUUCUCGAGUGGCGAACGGGUGAGUAACACGUGAGUAACCUGCCCUUGACUUUGGGAUAACUUCAGGAAACUGUGGCUAAUACCGGAUAGGAGCUCCUGCUGCAUGGUGGGGGUUGGAAAGUUUCGGCGGUUGGGGAUGGACUCGCGGCUUAUCAGCUUGUUGGUGGGGUAGGGGCUUACCAAGGCUUUGACGGGUAGCCGGCCUGGGAGGGUGACCGGCCACAUUGGGACUGAGAUACGGCCCAGACUCCUACGGGAGGCAGCAGUGGGGAAUAUUGCACAAUGGGCGGAAGCCUGAUGCAGCAACGCGGCGUGCGGGAUGACGGCCUUCGGGUUGUAAACCGCUUUCGCCUGUGACGAAGCGUGAGUGACGGUAAUGGGUAAAGAAGCACCGGCUAACUACGUG
rnacentral:rRNA from 1 species